UCUCUCCCUCCCUCCCUCUAGUACCCCACAUUAUUCUCAAGAGGUGUUGAUCUCGUUAAACAGUUUCCAUUGUCUUAUUAUACACUGGGACUGACUGUGGCCCACCUCUUAGGACUAAAGAAUGUGACUCCAUUCUCAACUGUUGCUAAUGGUAAAAGUCAUCAUUUAGAGUCGAAGUACCCAGAAGCUGUUGAUCUAGAUUGUUCUACUAACAGUAGUGAGUCAGUGACAUUAUGUGAAGAAUGUGAUCAGUCCAAGGUGGAGUAUUUGUGUCAGAAGUGUGACUGUAAAUUGUGUGACAAGUGCUUUGAUCAGAUCCAUUCUGUUUCUAAGGUCCUCAAGACUCACAGUAAGGUGAUUAUUGAGUCCUCUGUACUGAAAAUGAGUAAUGACAGACAGUCGCAGCUCACAGCUGCUAUGAGGACAGCACAGAAGCAUCAACACUCACUGGCUCU